rnacentral:rRNA from 1 species
AUUGAACGCUGGCGGCAUGCUUUACACAUGCAAGUCGAACGGCAGCGGGGAGGAGCUUGCUUCUCUGCCGGCGAGUGGCGAACGGGUGAGUAAUACAUCGGAACGUGUCGAGAAGAGGGGGAUAACCACCCGAAAGUGUGGCUAAUACCGCAUAAAUUCUGAGGAAGAAAGCUGGGGACCUAGGAAUAGGCCUAGCGCUUUUUGAGCGGCCGAUGUCGGAUUAGCUAGUUGGUGCGGUAAAGGCUCACCAAGGCGAAGAUCUGUAGCGGGUCUGAGAGGAUGAUCCGCCACACUGGGACUGAGACACGGCCCAGACUCCUACGGGAGGCAGCAGUGGGGAAUUUUGGACAAUGGGGGCAACCCUGAUCCAGCCAUGCCGCGUGUAUGAAGAAGGCCUUAGGGUUGUAAAGUACUUUUGGUAGGGAAGAAAAGUCAGCUGUGAAUAAUGGCUGAUACUGACGGUACCUAAAGAAUAAGCACCGGCUAACUACGUG